UGCCUUCUCACUAUUCCCCUCUAUUAUUUUCCUACCUUCCCUGCAUAACAGAUUCUGUUCCAGAAUCUCCCAUUUGAUUUUGACAUGCCAUUUCAGAAAUGAUAGGGAUUAGAGUGGCCCCUUACUCCUUGAGACCCCUUUCUUGUCUCCUCUGUUGUGGAACAAAUCCCUGUUCCUUAGAGACCCAUCCUGCAACACCUGAGCACUCUUCACCUCAUUUGAUGAGUCUCAAAAAAGCCUUUCCUUUCACCUUCUCUUCCACUAAACAUACAAGACUGUACUUGCAACAGGUAUACUGUAAUAGUAAGAAAAUGAAAAAGGAUGCACACAUCACAAGACACCAUAAUUGUUUCCCCACUCACCAUCUUUUCAACAGGAUCUAAGACAAAAUCCCAGCUCCCUAGCUGAACAAAGGCCUUGUCCUUAAAUACCCCAGUCCAAGAUACAAAGAGCUUUUGACUGUGGAUCUCUUUUGGUGGAAAACGACAUUUGCAGAAAAAAGGAAAGAAAAACAGAAUGGUUGAAGGCUGCAUCGGAGUAAGAAAAGUUACUCAAGUCAUAUCAAGAGGACUUUAAUACAACAUUAGAGCCGAGGUGGUGCAGCAGUUAGAGUGCAGUACUGCAGGCCACUUUAGCUGACUGUGUUCAGCAGGUCAGCGGUUCAAAUCUCACCGGCUCAAGGUUGACUCAGCCUUC